GGGUUUUUGUUGGUUCAUUCCUCCCGAGCUUCUGGCACAACACAGCAGUAAAUGUUGGCCUAUUGUUACGGAUUAAUUUACCGAAACGAUCGGAUUGUGUGACAGUUACAGCCAUAGUGGAGAGAAGCGUUUGACUUACGUCCACUGUGCAGUAUAGCGCAUCCGGUCUUGGGGGUUCGAUUGCUGCCGCACCCUCUCAGUGAUCAAUCGCCUGAUUUUAAGUGAAGAGUUGAAACGCCUGCCUAGCUGCUGUUUCAGGGCUCCUCUGCAGUGGAGCUGCUGUCUUGUUUUGCUCCUGCUGUUUUGCCUCGCCUCGCCUCGUUGGGGCUUUGGGGUUUUACUUUGAGCUCCUUCUGGACUAUUCUUUGCACUCCAGCUCAGUGGCGUGUCCAGCAGGGUGGCCUGCCCCCCAACAAGACUGGCCACCCCAGGUACCACCCCGAAGCUAUAACAUUAAAAUUCAAUCAAAUAUCAAAUGUACGAUUAUGUUUUCACAGUGAAGGUCAGAUAUCCGAGUGUAAGUGAAUGCAGCAUUGGCUUCUGCACUAUGAGCAUCACGUUAGCAAAGGAAGGAGAGCCAAGCACGAAAGAUGGUACCGCAGAAAACAAUUUUGGGCGAAAGAUAAGGAGGAGAGAAUAAAUGUCCUGUUUCAGAUGUUGCCAUAUUUCAACACCGCUGAUUUAAAGAAAAAUUUCCAGACUUGUGGACAACUAGGUGUUUGGGGAUUAUUUGAUUUGGAUUGGCUAUGUUGGUAUAGUGUAACAUCUAAAACAUCUUCCCAAAUCAAAAACCCUGGAUUAACGGAGAUGUUCGCACGGCGCUGGCGGCACGGAG